rnacentral:rRNA from 1 species
GUCGAGGGGCAGCAUGAACUUAGCUUGCUAAGUUUGAUGGCGACCGGCGCACGGGUGAGUAACACGUAUCCAACCUGCCGAUGACUCGGGGAUAGCCUUUCGAAAGAAAGAUUAAUACCCGAUGGCAUAGUUCUUCCGCAUGGUAGAACUAUUAAAGAAUUUCGGUCAUCGAUGGGGAUGCGUUCCAUUAGGUUGUUGGCGGGGUAACGGCCCACCAAGCCUUCGAUGGAUAGGGGUUCUGAGAGGAAGGUCCCCCACAUUGGAACUGAGACACGGUCCAAACUCCUACGGGAGGCAGCAGUGAGGAAUAUUGGUCAAUGGACGAGAGCCUGAACCAGCCAAGUAGCGUGAAGGAUGAAGGUCUUACGGAUUGUAAACUUCUUUUAUAAGGGAAUAAAACCUCCCACGUGUGGGAGCUUGUAUGUACCUUAUGAAUAAGCAUCGGCUAACUCCGUGCCAGCAGCCGCGGUAAUACGGAGGAUGCGAGCGUUAUCCGGAUUUAUUGGGUUUAAAGGGAGCGCAGACGGGUCGUUAAGUCAGCUGUGAAAGUUUGGGGCUCAACCUUAAAAUUGCAGUUGAUACUGGCGUCCUU